rnacentral:rRNA from 1 species
UAGGGAAUCUUCGGCAAUGGGGGGAACCCUGACCGAGCAACGCCGCGUGAGUGAAGAAGGUUUUCGGAUCGUAAAGCUCUGUUGUUAAGGAAGAUCGAGUGUGAGAAUGGAAAGUUCAUACUGUGACGGUACUUAACCAGAAAGGGACGGCUAACUACGUGCCAGCAGCCGCGGUAAUACGUAGGUCCCGAGCGUUGUCCGGAUUUAUUGGGCGUAAAGCGAGCGCAGGCGGUUAGAUAAGUCUGAAGUUAAAGGCAGUGGCUCAACCAUUGUAGGCUUUGGAAACUGUUUAACUUGAGUGCAGAAGGGGAGAGUGGAAUUCCAUGUGUAGCGGUGAAAUGCGUAGAUAUAUGGAGGAACACCGGUGGCGAAAGCGGCUCUCUGGUCUGUAACUGACGCUGAGGCUCGAAAGCGUGGGGAGCGAACAGG